GAAAAACAAGGCAGCUUCAGCUCCGGCUCCACCAAAUCCAACCACAUGAAGAAGAGGAGGGGGGGGAUAAACAAAAAACACACCGAAAAAGCCCCAACCAAACCAGCGAGGCUGCAGGGGGGUUGUGUGUGUGAAAACGGAAGCGUCUCAGCAAGCGAAGGGGGAGGUUUUUUGAUUGUUGUUGGGGUUUUUUAACUUGAAACGAAAGUCUCGGCACAGCGACCCGGUGAGCGGCGAUGCCAGGCGAAGGCGACGGUCUGAGGGCAGGAGUAAGGCUCGGGUGCAGGCACUGGGAAGUUGUAACUCUUAUGAGUCAUGGCACUGCUGGAGACAAGGACCUCUUGUCUACAAACUGCAGGACAAGAUGGGAGUUGCACAGGUCAAUACUCAGGCUUGCAGCUGAGACAUUUGUUGGUUGAAGUGCUGCAUUAUGGUGCUCCUCAGAAGUACAUCAACUCUAUUGGACAGCUUGGUGUGGAAAGACCUCUUCAUCUCCAGCAAAAUUGAUCCUGUGGCUUCUUUAUGUGCGUGCAGAGGCUCUCCAGAGCUGUCUGAAGAUAU